rnacentral:rRNA from 1 species
GAUGAACGCUGGCGGCGUGCCUAAUACAUGCAAGUCGAGCGAACAGAUGAGGAGCUUGCUCCUCUGACGUUAGCGGCGGACGGGUGAGUAACACGUGGAUAACCUACCUAUAAGACUGGGAUAACUUCGGGAAACCGGAGCUAAUACCGGAUAAUAUUUUGAACCGCAUGGUUCAAUAGUGAAAGACGGUCUUGCUGUCACUUAUAGAUGGAUCCGCGCUGCAUUAGCUAGUUGGUAAGGUAACGGCUUACCAAGGCAACGAUGCAUAGCCGACCUGAGAGGGUGAUCGGCCACACUGGAACUGAGACACGGUCCAGACUCCUACGGGAGGCAGCAGUAGGGAAUCUUCCGCAAUGGGCGAAAGCCUGACGGAGCAACGCCGCGUGAGUGAUGAAGGUCUUCGGAUCGUAAAACUCUGUUAUUAGGGAAGAACAAAUGUGUAAGUAACUGUGCACAUCUUGACGGUACCUAAUCAGAAAGCCACGGCUAACUACGUG